rnacentral:rRNA from 1 species
CAGUCGCCGCGGGAAUACCGGCAGCCCAAGUGGUAGUCAUGUUUAGUGGGUCUAAAGCGUCCGUAGCCGGCUAUGUAAGUUCCUUGGGAAAUUUGAUCGCUUAACGAUCAAGCUACCGGGGAAUACUACCUGGCUUGGGACCGGGAGAGGUUAGAGGUACUUUAAGGGUAGGGGUGAAAUCCGUUAAUCCUUGGGGGACCACCGGUAGCGAAGGCGUCUGACCAGACCGGAUCCGACGGUGAGGGACGAAGGCUAGGGGAGCGAACCGGAUUAGAUACCCGGGUAGUCCCUGUCUCUUAUU